CUGAGGGCGCUUAUAAGGCCCGGAGCUGGGGAUCUCAGCAUCAGUCGCUUGUUGCAGCCGUCCCAGCACCACAGAUCUGAACACCACAGAGCCAUGCAGCUGUUGGUCUUCGCUACACUGGUGGUUGCGGCUGCGGCUGCUCCGCAAAACUACAACGCUAAUGAGUUCGUGAGGUCUGGACUGCCCGAGAUCCGCAUUCUCAGCCAGAGGUUCGAUCAGGACCCCAACACUGGAAACUACGAGUACAGCUACGAGCAGGACAACGGACAGGCGGCGGCUGAGACAGGUCAGGUAUACCCUGGACCUGAGCCAG
rnacentral:misc_RNA from 1 species